AUAACGACGUCUCUGAGGCGCGAAAUCUGACAGCGAGAGGAACGGCCGGAUACAGGAGACGGGAAGAAACAAGCCGAUUAUGUUCGCGUUAAUUAAGUGGUUGGAAGAUGUAAAAUUCUCAAUUCUGCCAACUGAACAUAUACGAGAUUUUAAUGAGGAUGAAUAAUUAGCCGGCAUGGAGGAAACGGACCUUUAUUUCGUGGAGUGGCGACAAGAAGCCAAGGCGGGUGGCCAGUCUAAGAAGCCUCCAUCAUCAAGCUAGCAGAAAUCCUACCUCUCCUUCUGGCUACAGAGUACUUACCAAGCCCAUGAAAUCGAAUGCAGAUCUUCCUAAUGUGAGAUUUACAUAAAUAUGUCAAAGUCUCAACCUCAUGCUGCCCUCCCCCAUCCUCCUAAACCUGUGGAUACAAAUGCAGAUUUCCUUAAUGUAAGUUGUGCAUUUUAAUUACAUCAUGUUAUUUUUAUUAUUAUUUAUUUAUUUAUUUUAUUUUACAUUCAAAUAUUUCAAGCUUCUUGGUUAAAGAAGCUUGAUUGCUAGUAGGUAAAGAAUAGUUCACCUAUAAUUCAUAUUCCCAAUUAAUUUCUCACCUCUGAUUGAAUGCCUUUGUUUGUUUUCCUUUUGACUAUAACAAAACAUUUUUGCUGGAUAUAUAUGGUGAAUUUAUAUGCAUAGAUACAGUCGUAGUGCUUGACACAUGCAAACAGCAGUAGAUGUACUAAAAAGGAAAUAAUUACAAUCAUGAUGUUGAUUGCUGAUGUCAGUAUAUAUAUUUUAGAGGAAUGUUUUGUUUUUCACCCAAAAUGAACUAUAUUGCUUCAGAAGAGAUUUAUUACCCUAUAUAAACAGUAUCUAUAUAUUGUUCUGUUUUUUGUUUGUUUUUGUUAUUUUCAGGUUCAAUGGUGCGUGUUCUUCUAAUGGCCGCCUUCCCACUGGAGGUUUUGAUCCACAGCAAUUUAAAAGGUAAUCAGCUUUGAAAGUCAGUUCAAAUGGUUAGCUAAUAGUACUU